CAAUAGCGUAUAUUAAUGUUGUUGCGGUUAAAAAGCUCGUAGUUGGACUUCUGUGUUGAACGCACUUCUCAGCACAACGUGCUUGAUGAAGUUGCAACAUCACAUUUUUCUGGAAAACGUACCUCGGUGCGCGUUCCGGAACGUUUACCUUGAAGAAAUCAGAGUGUUCCAAGCAGGCCAGCGCCUUGCAUGUUCUAGCUGGGGAUAAUAACAAAGAGUUCAGUUGCUCUCGUUGGUUUAUGUAGCUGAAUUUAAGAUUAAUAGGAACAGUUGGGGGCAUUCGUAUUUGGCCGUCAGAGGUGAAAUUCUUGGAUUGGCCAACGACGAACUACUGCGAAAGCAAUUGCCAAGGAUGUUUNCAUUGA
rnacentral:rRNA from 1 species